UUCUAUUCUAAAUCUUGGGUCUAUUACUUCUCCCCACUUUAGGCCUAUUGGGCCUUUAACAUAGCCUCAAAAAGGCCUGUAAGUGAAGCCCUAAUAGUAUACCCAUUGAUCGCAAAAAACCUGAAAUCUCGAAGUUCUUCAGCAAAUCGACUCGAAUCGAACAAGAGAGAGAGAGAGAGAGAGCGCAAAGAUGAAUUCAAUGGUGGCUUUGGGGAAGAAAUUCACGAGAAAUAUUCAAGAUAACAAACGCAGGCUGUUAUCAGCUAAGUAUGAAUUGAGGCGAAAGUUGUAUAAAGCCUUUGUUCAAGAUCCUGAGCUUCCCCCUGAAAUGAGAGAAGCUCAUCGUUACAAGCUCUCAAAGCUGCCAAGGAACAGCUCCUUUACACGAAUCAGAAAUCGUUGCAUUUUUACCGGUCGCCCUCGUGCUGUUUAUGAAAAGUUUCGAAUGUCUCGUAUUGUUUUCCGUGGUUUGGCUGCUCGGGGUGCUUUGCAGGGUGUAAAGAAAGCUUCUUGGUAGACAAUACCCAGGAUUUCUUCUUUUCAAGAUUUAGGAGUACUACUACUGGAUCUCAUAUACUAAAGCCAAGUAGAUUAUAGUGGGACAAAGUUUUCUAUUUCAGGAGUUGGCUCAGCUUUACAAAUAAUUGUCAUGUUACAGUCUCUAGCUCGUCCCACAUUCGGGAUUUGUUUUUGCCAGUAUAUUUUUCUUCAUCUUUGCCUCAAGAUUUCUGGAUGUUCUUAAUCUGCUUGGUAGAACUUUGCUAAAGCUUUUCACUGUCUUUGAAACUUUUGAUUUAUGAGCAGACCUGUACUCUAUUUCUAGCUUUGAACUAACUGCUUAUCAGGGAUUUGCAUGCAUCAUGCAUCUGUCUA